GCCAAACACCAGUGGGCGAGUCAGCGAGUAGGGUUGCCGAAAUGUUUUCUUUACCUUUUUUAUAAUAAAUAUGUCGUCCCUUAUUUAAAAACAGAAUCUAGUGGUUGAGGUUUUAUUUCCUUUUGAGAUGAAUAAAAAAAAUAAAUUACAUUGUUUUUUAACAGAGCCAUUUGUAAUGCAACUACUCAGCACCGCAAUGGAGGCAAUGUGGCAGCUGUGGCGAUGGCGGCAACAAGAGAAGCCGGAUUAACGGGAAUCAUGGCGGAGCAGACCAUAAACCUAGACACCAGCGACGGAGGGCAGCCCUCCGAAGCUCCCAACGAGCUCCAGAAUGAGAGGGAACGUCACUCAGAGAUGGAAAAAGCAGAGGUGAUAUUUAGAGGUCUACAAAGAGUCACACUUCCUGCUGUGGUUCAGAUGUUCAGCGUGUUGCUUUGUUUCUCACAUGUUGGCUCCACGGUCUCUGCUGCUGUGGGCUGAUGUCAUGAAGCAAUACAGCUGCUCAACAUCUGGCCUUGUUUUGCU
ensembl:lncRNA